rnacentral:rRNA from 1 species
UACGUAGGGGGCAAGCGUUGUCCGGAUUUAUUGGGCGUAAAGAGCGUGUAGGCGGCUAGGUAGGUCCGUUGUGAAAACUCGAGGGCUCAACCUCGAGACGUCGAUGGAAACCAUCUAGCUAGAGUCCGGAAGAGGAGAGUGGAAUUCCUGGUGUAGCGGUGAAUGCGCAGAUAUCAGGAAGAACACCCGUGGCGAAGGCGGCUCUCUGGUACGUGACUGACGCUGAGACGCGAAAGCGUGGGGAGCGAACAGGAUAGAUACCGA